AUGAGGGCUUCAUCAACAUUUGCAGAAUAUUCCUGUAAUAUUUUCACCUCUGUGUUUGUGGGACCACUUAGUGCUGGAAUGAAGUGUUUGUUUGUUACCAAUUCUAUCAGAAAUGAUGGUCCUCAUUUGAAGGUGUGGGUGGGUGUGUGUGUCGUGUGUCUGUGUGUCUGUGUGUCCAGUGUUUGUGUCAGUGUGUUUGUGUGUUCAUUCUGUGUGUGUGUGUGUGUGUGUCAGUAUGUGUCCAGUGUGUGUGUCCAAUGUGUGUGUCAGUGUGUGUGUGUGAGUCCAGAAUGUAUGUCCAGUGUGUGUCUGUGCAGUGUGUGUGUGUCCAGUGUGUGUGGGUGUGUGUAUGUGUGUGUGUGUGUGUCCAGUGUGUGUGUGUGUAUCAGUGUGUGUGUGAGAGUUCAGUAUGUGUGUGUGUCCAGUGUGUGUGUGUGUAUCAGUGUGUGUCCAGUGUUUGUGUGUCCAGAGUGUUUGUGUCCAGUGUGUGUGUGUCCAGUGUGUGUGUGUGUGUGUCAGUGUGUGUGUGUGUGUGUGUCCAGUGUGUGUGUGUAUCAGUGUGUGUGUUUGUGUAUCCAGUGUGUGUGUGUAUCAAUGUGUGUGUCUGAGAUCAGUAUGUGUGUGUGUCUAGUGUGUGUGUGUGUAUCGGUGUGUGUCCAGUGUGUGUGUGUGUGUGUGUCCAGUGUGUGUGUGUGUGUGUCAGUGUGUGUGUGUGUGUGUCCAGGUUGUGUUUAUAUCAGUGUGUGUGUCCAGUGUGUGUGUCCACUGUGUGUGUGUGUGUUUGUGUGUGUGUCCAGUGUGUGUGUGUCUCCUGUGUGUGUGUUUGUGUGUGUGUCCAGUGUGUGUGUGUGUGUUCUAUGUGUGUGUGUGUCUUGUGUGUAUAUCAGUGUGUGUGUGUGUGUGUGUGUGUGUAUCAAGUGUGUGUGUCCAGUGUUUAUGUGUCCAGUGUGUGUGUAUGUGUCCAGUGUGUGUGCGUGUGUGUCCAGUGUGUGUCUAUGUGUUCGGGUUGUGUGUGUGUCAUAUGUGUGUGUGACCAGUGUUUGUGUGACCAGUGUUUGUGUGUCCAGUUUGUGUGUGUUUGUGCGUGUUUGUCCAAUGUUAAGGUUAUUUUACCAUUACCUUAAACAAAUAAAUCGUGUGAAUUUCUAUAACAAUGUCCAAUGUGUGUGUGUGGUUGUGUGUGUGUGUGUGUGUCCUGUGUGUGUGUGUCCAAUGUUUGUGUGUGUCCAGUGUGUGUGUGUCUGUGUGUCUAGUGUUUGUGUGUGUGUUUUCAGUGUGUGUGCGUGUGUCCAGUGUUUGUGUGUCCAGUGUGUGUGUGUGUCCAAUGUGUGUGUGUGUGUGUGUCCAGUGUGUGUGUGUGUGUGUGUGGGGGGGGGGGGGGUGUCCAAUUUGUGUGUGUAUUUGUGUGUGUGUCCAAUGUGUGUGUGUGGUUGUGUGUGUGUGUGUGUGUCCUGUGUGUGUGUGUCCAGUGUUUGUGUGUGUGUGUGCCCAGUGUAUGUGUGCUUGUGUGUGCAUGUGUGUGUGUGUCCAGUGUGUGUGUGUCUGUGUGUCCAGUGUUUGUGUAUAUGUGUUUUCAGUGUGUCCAGUGUGGGUGUGGGUGUCCAAUGGGUGUGUGUGUGUGUCCAGUGUGUGUGUGUGUGUGUGUGUGUGUCCAGUUUGUGUAUGUAUUUGUGUGUGUCCAAUGUGUGUGUGUGUGGUUGUGUGUGUGUGUCUUGUGUGUAUGUGUGUGUGUGUGUGUGUGUGUGUGUCCAGUGUGUGUGUGUGUGUGUGUAUGUGUGUCCAGUUUGUGUGUGUAUUCGUGUGUGUGUCCAAUGUGUGUGUGUGGUUGUGUGUGUGUGUGUGUGUGUCCAAUGUGUGUGUCCAGUGUGUGUGUCCAGUGUUUGUGUGUGUGUGUCCAGUUUGUGUGUGUAUUUGUGUGUGUAUCCAGUUUGUGUGUGUGUGUGCCCAAUGUGUGUGUGUGUGUUCGUGUAUAUGUGUGCAAUGUGUGUGUGUGUGUGUGGUUGUGUGUGUCCAGUGUGUGUGUGUUCAUUGUGUGUGUGUGUGUCCAAUGGUUGUGUGUGUGUGUGUGUGUGUCCAAUGGUUGUGUGUGUGUGUGUGUGUGUGUGUGUGUGUGUGUGUGUGUGUGUGUCCAGUGUGUGUGUGUGUGUGUGUGUGUGUCCAGUUUGUGUAUGUAUUUGUGUGUGUGUCCAAUGUGUGUGUGUGGUUGUGUGUGUGUGUGUGUGUGUGUGUGUGUGUGUCCAGUGUGUGUGUGUGUAUGUGUGUCCAGUUUGUGUGUGUAUUUGUGUGUUUGUCCAAUGUGUGUGUGUGGUUGUGUGUGUGUUUUCAGAGUGUGUGUGUGUGUGUGUGUCCAAUGUGUGUGUCCAGUGUGUGUGUGUGUGUGUGUGUGUGUGUGUGUGUCCAAUGUGUGUGUCCAGUGUGUGUGUGUCCAGUGUUUGUGUGUGUGUGUCCAGUUUGUGUGUGUAUUUGUGUGUGUUCCAGUUUGUGUGCGUGUGUGCCCAGUGUGUAUGUGUGUGCCCAAUGUGUGUGUGUGUUCGUGUAUAUGUGUGCAAUGUGUGUGUGUGUGUGUGCGUGUGUGUGUGUGUGGUUGUGUGUGUCCAGUGUGUGUGUGUUCAUUGUGUGUGUGUGUGUCCAAUGGUUGUGUGUGUGUGUGUUUCCAGGGUAUGUGUGUGUAUGUGUGUGUGUGUCCAGUGUGUGUGUGUGUGUGUCCAGUGUGUUUUCAGUGUGCGUGUGUGUUGGAGGAAAUUAUAG
rnacentral:lncRNA from 1 species